UACGGGGGGGGCAAGCGUUGUUCGGAAUUACUGGGCGUAAAGGGCUCGUAGGCGGCCAACUAAGUCGGAUGUGAAAUCCCCAAGCUUAACUUGGGAACUGCAUCCGAUACUGGAUGGCUUGAAUCCGGGGAGAGGGAUGCAGAAUUCCAGGUGUAGCGGUGAAAUGCGUAGAUAUCUGGAGGAAUACCGGUGGCGAAGGCGGCUCGCUGGGCCAUACCUGACGCUGAGACGCGAAAGCGUGGGGAGCAAACAGGG
rnacentral:rRNA from 1 species